GCAAGUCGAGCGGAAACGACACUAACAAUCCUUAGGGUGCGUUAAGGGGCGUCGAGCGGCGGAAGGGUGAGUAAUGCCUAGGAAAUUGCCUUGAUGUGGGGGAAAACCAUUGGAAAAGAUGGCUAGUACCGCAUAACGCCUACGUGUCAAAGAGUGGGAUCGUCGGUCCUCUCGCGUCAAGAUAGGCCUAGGUGGGAUUAGCUAGUUGGUGAGGUAAUGGCUUACCAAGGCGACGAUCCCUAGCUGGUCUGAGAGGAUGAUC
rnacentral:rRNA from 1 species